rnacentral:rRNA from 1 species
CAACGCGAAGAACCUUACCAGGCUUGACAUCCCCUGACCGCGUAUGAAAGUACGUUUUCACCCUCGGGUGACAGGGAGACAGGUGGUGCAUGGUUGUCGUCAGCUCGUGUCGUGAGAUGUUGGGUUAAGUCCCGCAACGAGCGCAACCCCUACGUUUAGUUGCUAACGCGUGAAGGCGAGCACUCUAGACGAACUGCCGUUGACAAAACGGAGGAAGGUGGGGAUGACGUCAAAUCAUCAUGCCCCUUAUGUUCUGGGCUACACACGUGCUACAAUGGCCGGUACAGACGGACGCAAAGCCGCGAGGUGGAGCAAAUACCUAAAAAGCCGGUCUCAGUUCGGAUUGCAGGCUGCAAUUCGCCUGCAUGAAGUCGGAAUCGCUAGUAAUCGCAGGUCAGCAUACUGCGUGAUACGUCCGGCCUU